rnacentral:lncRNA from 10 species
GCCAGUGAGACAAACACCUCACUAGCAACAGAAUAAAUGUUCAUGGGGCCCCACUGGAAGCCCCUGUCCCAGCACCCUCUGUCAGCAUCACAUGUAGUGUUGUGGAAACAGGAGGAAAAGAGAGACCUUGGGGUGUAUACAGGAGGAUCUUUAUUGAGUGCACUCAGACCCACUGGACUCAACGUCUAAAAACUGGGCCUAGAAUAAAGACAGCACUUGACUUAAACACACUUUUAAAAAGGGGUGGGUUAGCUUGAAGCAGGCUUACAGUGGCGUGAAAGCAGGGAUACAGAGGCAGGACAAAGACAGUUAAUCAAAUUAUAACAGGCUCAUAACUCAGGAUUAGACAUGACCGUUGCUGUGCAACUCAGAUGGCCAUUAUGUAGGUUUGCCCUAGUGCUUAGCAUGGCUUAUUCCAUGGCCAUCACUAUGGCACCCAGGUGGCUCUAUCUCAGGCUGCUCAGACAGUUUAUGACCUUCACUCCACUGCUGAUAAAACAGAAUAUUUGAAGUCACUAGGUGUAGAGAGCAGGAAUCUAUAAACUCAUACCAUGAAACAAAGGAAAAUUUGUUUUUCUUCUCCCUAUGUUGAGGGAGUGCUGGGAGAGGCUCCAGAGCACAUUCCUUUGUGUCUUGGCUUCUUAGUAUUAUUAAGACUUUUCCUGGGUCUGGGCUGUGCCUGUUGCUGCCUCUGAGACAAGUCAGCCUAAUACAGGAAAAGCUUAAUUCUCUUUUUAAUUUUUUCUUUUUUCUUUCAUUUCCCCCCUCAGUAGGGGUUCCUGAGACCCUCAGCCACCUCCCCGUACUUGACGGAGGUGGAAGGGGAGGUGCUGGACAUGCAGCGGCUUUAUUAAUGCUGCUGUAUCUAUCUCUGGAUAAUGAAUGUGGCUCACAGCCACACGCCUCUAUGACCUUUUGUUUCCGUGGGUCAGGGGUCCAGCCUGGGAGGCCAUGGGCCCUACUUGAGGGCAGGGGACCCCUCAGGGCAGGGCCACCUCGGAGAUCUGCUCUUUGUCUGCUCUCCUGGGACCAGCACAGCCUUUCCCAGCCCCUGCAGCACUUCUGACCAAGGAAAGCCAGUCUGGGGGCCCACAGAGGACCCUGGGCAUCCCCAGCCAUGGGAUCAAGGCAGAAGGAAACAGGGCGGCCUCCGGUCUGGCUUGCCACGCUCCCUGGGAGCCCUGACCCUCCGGUGGGGGUGUGGUCAGAACUGCCAGAGACGCUUGGGUGUACAGGGAGCACAUGGGUCACUGGGAGGAAGCUAUGGCCCCUCCCCUACAGAGGAUGGAGGAGCCCAUACUGAGGGGGAGGGGCUGGCCACUUCUGCCUUGGAACCCUCCAGGUAUGUCAGCCAGGGGACACAGCAGAGCUGGGGCUUCUGCUACCCGGAAGCAGGUGUGGAGCUUGGGAUGCAGACAGGGGGCAGGAGAUGAGGAGAAAAUGAUGGUGAAAGCCAGGAAGUGGGUGGGGCCCCAAGGAGUACAGAGGGUGGUCGUGUGGGGUGGGUGGGCAGGCAUGGGCCUGGACGGAUAGGUUGGGCAUGGGAAGAGGGGCUCGGCGGGGUC